rnacentral:tmRNA from 1 species
CUUGUAGACGCCGUUGGGUGGCUCGUUAGGACGGGGGUUCGACUCCCCCCACCUCCAUUA